rnacentral:lncRNA from 1 species
CGGGGCUUGCCUGGGUAACACUAGGUUAGUGUUUGUUAGGCGAUGAGCACUUGACGAGUAUCCCUCGACCGAGCACUUGAUUGAUUUAACCAUCUUCAGGUUGGUCCAUCAGCUUCAUCUUGCGGAUUAGCCCACGCUUGGGGUCGACUUGGAUCGUCUUCCGCAUCGCGCGAUUAAUUAACGUACCUGAAUGAAAUGCAUUAUGCACAUGAAUGCAUAUCGACGGAAAUAUUAUAAAUCUAAAUAGUGUUACGCGAUAGCGGAACACCUAGCGGUGAGGCGUUGCGACAACGCAUAAUAAUUACGCUUCUCUAAAUUAAACGAACCUAACACAAACAUCACAAACAACAAAUCAUACACUUUAAACAUAAUUAGCAUAAUUUUGGCUACACGAUAAUGAAUCCAAUACCUAGUGACGAGGCACAAAUAACAUUUAAAAGCAAUUACCAGAUGCCGGGAUAUUACUAAGUACAACGAUCGCGUUCUUCCAGUCUAAUUAGAUCUAGCUGCCACAUCAAGGAACCGAUAAACUAUACACACGCUCUACCCUCCUUAGUUAAAGCUCAACACCCUAAGACUAACAAACUUAGACUUAUUAGUUUUAGACAUCUAAGUGCAAUACAAAGAUAGAGGCACAAUAACUACCUUUGUAAAUUCUCAUCCGGACUAAUGUGCACAAUAUGCUAAUUAUAUGAACAUUACACUAUUCUAUAGUCUCGUAGGUAGAGCAUUAUCAAGGACUAUAGACCUUUAUACGAUCACAACUUAAAUCCUAAAGACUUAAAACACUAAUAGAAAAUAUUCAUUAAGUAGCUUUCAUAUUUUAAAUGAAGCGGACCAAACGAUGUUGCUUACCUCCAAAUAAUUUGGACCACGAUAAACAGGAUAACGAUAAACAUUUAUUUGAGACUAUUACUCUGAACGAUCAAUGUCCAACUUCGACGUUUACCAAUCAACGAACAUGGAUUAUAAUAACAACUAACGCAGGACACUGAUCCCAUCAUAUAAACACCUUUCAUCAAAAGCAGCACUAACAACCUAUCAACUAAACGUUCGAGACCCGAAACCUAAACUUUACUAGCGAAACAAAUACGAUGCCACAAGCGAAGAGUUAUUUUCACAAACAUCUAACACCACCACAAUGCGCCAGUGCUAUCGACAAGAGAAACGACGUAACUAACGUGUCUAACCAAAUCCAUCCGACCAAUAGCGGAAGUAACGAAUCGGCUUACCACAUCACAAUUCGUCUCGAUAUCAGCGAGAACGAUGACGACGAACUUUGGUUUCAGGUGUUUUGUUGAGCGCCUGGCGAGCACCAACGUUACUGUUGCCAAAGCUGUCGCUACCUCCUAGCAGCAAG